UACGAAGGGGGCUAGCGUUGUUCGGAAUUACUGGGCGUAAGCGCGACGCAGGCGGUUCUCCAAGUCAGUGGUGAAAGCCCGGAGCUCAACUCCGGAACUGCCAUUGAAACUGUUGAACUUGAGGACGAGAGAGGUGAGUGGAACUGCGAGUGUAGAGGUGAAAUUCGUAGAUAUUCGCAAGAACACCAGUGGCGAAGGCGGACUCACUGGCCCGAUACUGACGCUGAGGCACGAAAGCGUGGGAGCAAACAGGG
rnacentral:rRNA from 1 species